rnacentral:rRNA from 1 species
GUGAGGAAUAUUGGUCAAUGGGCGCAAGCCUGAACCAGCCAUGCCGCGUGCAGGAAGACGGUCCUAUGGAUUGUAAACUGCUUUUAUUUGGGAAUAAACUCCGGUACGUGUACCGGCCUGAAGGUACCAAAUGAAUAAGCACCGGCUAACUCCGUGCCAGCAGCCGCGGUAAUACGGAGGGUGCAAGCGUUAUCCGGAAUCAUUGGGUUUAAAGGGUCCGCAGGCGGUCUUAUAAGUCAGUGGUGAAAGCCUACAGCUCAACUGUAGAACUGCAAUUGAUACUGUAGGACUUGAAUUCGAUCGAAGUGGGCGGAAUGUGACAUGUAGCGGUGAAAUGCUUAGAUAUGUCACAGAACACCGAUAGCGAAGGCAGCUCACUAGGUCUGGAUUGACGCUCAGGGACGAAAGCGUGGGGAGCAAACAGGAUUAGAUACCCGGGUAGUCC